GACGCUGAGGCUCGAAAGCGUGGGGAGCGAACAGGAUUAGAUACCCUGGUAGUCCACGCCGUAAACGAUGAGUGCUAGGUGUUAGGUCCUUUCCGGGACUUAGUGCCGCAGCUAACGCAUUAAGCACUCCGCCUGGGGAGUACGACCGCAAGGUUGAAACUCAAAGGAAUUGACGGGGGCCCGCACAAGCGGUGGAGCAUGUGGUUUAAUUCGAAGCAACGCGAAGAACCUUACCAGGUCUUGACAUCCCGAUGCUAUUUCUAGAGAUAGGAAGUUUCUUCGGAACAUCGGUGACAGGUGGUGCAUGGUUGUCGUCAGCUCGUGUCGUGAGAUGUUGGGUUAAGUCCCGCAACGAGCGCAACCCUUAUUGUUAGUUGCCAUCAUUGAGUUGGGCACUCUAGCGAGACUGCCGGUAAUAAACCGGAGGAAGGUGGGGAUGACGUCAAAUCAUCAUGCCCCUUAUGACCUGGGCUACACACGUGCUACAAUGGCUGGUACAACGAGUCGCAAGCCGGUGACGGCAAGCUAAUCUCUGAAAGCCAGUCUCAGUUCGGAUUGUAGGCUGCAACUCGCCUACAUGAAGUCGGAAUCGCUAGUAAUCGCGGAUCAGCACGCCGCGGUGAAUACGUUCCCGGGCCUUGUACACACCGCCCGUCACACCACGAGAGUUUGUAACACC
rnacentral:rRNA from 1 species